UCCUAACAGUUAGGACUUCGGUCCUGCUAGCUCUACCCAUGUCUUUGGCACGUACCUUCGUUUCCUCGGCGGGUCCUGCCUGCCGGAUUGGACAUUAUAAAACCAUUUUGCUAGUUGCAAUCAGCGUCAUGAAAAACAAUUAAUAGUUA
rnacentral:misc_RNA from 1 species